rnacentral:rRNA from 1 species
CGCGUAGGCGGCCUCUGCAAGUCGACUGUGAAAUCUCCGGGCUUAACCCGGAAAGGUCAGCCGAUACUGCAGGGCUAGAGUGCAGAAGGGGCAACUGGAAUUCUCGGUGUAGCGGUGAAAUGCGUAGAUAUCGAGAGGAACACCUGCGGCGAAGGCGGGUUGCUGGGCUGACACUGACGCUGAGGCGCGAAAGCUAGGGGAGCGAACG